CUAAUGGAAUCUUCACUUUCUUCUAUCAAGUUGAGAGAACUAAACACGGAGUCUCCAGAUUUUUAAAGUGCCCGCCCAUCAGAUGGUUAGAAAAGCAAAUAAAGUAAGGCCUGCAGGGAGGUAAAUCAUCACAAGAUUUGCUGGAGUUCAAGAGAAGAUCCUAAAAGGUCCCAGCACUGGGGGUUGGGGCAUUAUGUGGUGGAGAAGAUCACUUCAAAGGAGUGGAGGUCAACACAAAACAACAUAAGGUUUUUCAAUAGCAACAUUAGAUUUUGGAAGAGAAUAGUGCAAUGACUGCAGAAGCAAAGUCACUUUCAACCUAGAUUUUUAUAGCCAGCCAAAGUCUCGUCAAGUGUGAGUGGUGGAAGAAAUCGAUUUUCGGAAAUACAAUGACUGAAAGCAUUUACCUCCUUUUUUUGAUGUGCUCCCACAAAAGAAAGAAUUGAGACAACAAAGGAAGGCAUGAACAAAGGAAGGCAUGUGUUCUGAGAAACUUGGGCACCAGCACAGGAUGGGGGUGAAGGAAAAGCUCAGGACAUCAGCCAUGCUAUAGCUGGGAUGGCGAGGAAGACUGUAUGUUCGACAGAAACCCAGUUUGAUGAAAGAGAGGCCAUGAAAUGCUUCUGUUGUCUACACACAGAGAGAAAUGUCGUGUCAGAUUCAGAGUGCCUAUAUGUUGCAGAAACUCAAGUUCUCGUUGAAUGUUGUACUUAAACAAAAACAAGCACCUGUGUUGCAGCAAUUAGAACGGAAGCUCCAGAGAGGCAGCGGGCUUCAUCUGUUUUGUUGACGGAUGUGAGUGGCAAGCACCUCCCUAGGGCUGGCAAAUGCUUUUCUUUCGAGGGCCAGAUCAUACAGAGCGUAGGCUUUUGGAGCCAUUCACUCUCUGCGCUACCUACUCGACUCUUGCUGCUGUGUGUGAAGGUUGCCACAGAUGAUAUGUGAAUAAAUGCGUGGCUGAACCUCAAUAAAAUGUUACUGAGAAGCAGUCAGCAGGCAGCACUUACCUCACGGGAGGUAGUGUGUUGACUCCUGCUCUAACCUAACAGGCGAGAACGAAGCUAUUCAAGAAGACAAACAGGGGCAGCUUAGAAGGCUGUAGCCACAAACAUGGAUAAUGCUCAAAGACUGAAAAUGUAUAUAAAGGACAUUACUUUGAAGCCUCUG